rnacentral:rRNA from 1 species
UACAACUUUCAACAACGGAUCUCUUGGCUCUCGCAUCGAUGAAGAACGCAGCGAAAUGCAAUACGUAAUGUGAAUUGCAGAAUUCACUGAAUCAUCGAAUCUUUGAACGCACCUUGCGCCCCUUGGCAUUCCGAGGGGCACACCCGUUUGAGUGUCAAUGAAAUUAUCA